CUGUAAGACACGGCGUUUUUUCCACAAUUCAGAAAUCAUUAUAAAAUAGUAUAUUAGUAUAAAUGCAUUUGAUUUUACUACUUAUCGGCUUAAGAACGUUGCAACAACUGCGUAAACAUUCAUAAGUAUAGUAAUUAACGGGUGAAAAUGAAAAAAAAACCAACAAACACGUGUGUUUUGUCUAGCAGCGUUUCGACUUCAACGUGACAUAUUUUGGUCAUCGUGAUUUUCAUAUUUCAAAUAAAAUGUUCUUCAAAAAUGUGUUUGGCUAUGGAAAAUGUGCAUUUUAAGAGUAUAUGAAUGAGAUUUAAAUAUUCAGCAGAGAAAACAGUGAUAAAGUUCAAACUGAGGUUUCAGAAGAAAAGGAAAAAUGUCGAUUGCUUGAGACUUUCACCUCGCAUGGCGGAGGACGAAGGCACACAG